rnacentral:lncRNA from 1 species
AGAGAGGCCAGCCCCCAUUCCUGGGGCUCCCCGAGGAGCUGGCUUUCAGCAGGGUUUAGAGCAGCACGAAAAGUGAACUGACCCUGGAAAAAUGUAAUCUUCUCAUCUGUGAGGAUAUGGAACUCCAACCUCUUCCUGGACACCUGAUGAUCCGCUUGUGAUGGGCUCAGAGUCUUGAAACACAGAACUAUGAGCUUAUCUCAUAUCCCAAUCCAGCAGCAUGGAAACCUCAGACUGUAAGGCCCAAGACUGGCACUUAAGAUUUAUGCUAUUACCUUUUAGGCAAAACAUCCUGAAUAUGUAAAAUAAACUAAUUAAAAUCAAGUCUGUGCCAUUUGUGGAGAACUGCAUUUCACCAGCACUCCAUUCAUGAAGAAUCUACGAGCGCCCUCUAGAGGAAUUUUCUCUCUUUUACAUCUACACACGGUGAAAACGGCCGACUAGGGCUGCUCUUGUCCGGGCUGAAUUCUGGAAAGCAUCAAUUUCUCAGGAUAUAUAUGCAGCGUUUAAGUACAUUUUCUGCGAGAAGCAGAUGCAUGUGGUUUGCAAGUCAGAGCGAAAGCCAGUGCUGCUGUUCAGAGUCAGAGCUGGGCAGGAUGAAGUUUAAUGAACAUUAUUAACCAUUGAGAAGAUGCAUUUCUUGCUGAGUAGCCCCCAGGGCAGACGACAGCUCAGUCACCCUGGAAGAAUUCAACCAGAAAAAGGCCUUAUAAACCCACAGUUCUGUGCUAGUGAGAACCAUUAU